rnacentral:tRNA from 1 species
GGGAUUGUGGCUCAGAGGUAGAGCACUUGCCUAGCACGCAUGAGACAAUGAGUUGGAUCCUCAGCACCA